AGAGUUUGAUCCUGGCUCAGAACGAACGCUGGCGGCGUGCCUAACACAUGCAAGUCGAGCGAGAAAAGGGGGGCAACUCCCUGAGUACAGCGGCGCACGGGUGAGUAACACGUAGGUAAUCUCCCCUCGAGCCCGGAAUAACCUACCGAAAGGUGGGCUAAUACCGGAUAUGACCACGGAAGUUUCGGCUUCUGCGGUGAAAGAUGGCCUCUAUUUAUAAGCUAUCACUCAAGGAUGAGCCUGCGUGCCAUUAGCUAGUUGGUGGGGUAAUGGCCCACCAAGGCUAUGAUGGCUAGCUGGUCUGAGAGGAUGGCCAGCCACACUGGGACUGAAACACGGCCCAGACUCCUACGGGAGGCAGCAGUGGGGGAUAUUGCGCAAUGGGCGAAAGCCUGACGCAGCGACGCCGCGUGGGUGAUGAAGGCCUUCGGGUCGUAAAGCCCUGUCGAGGGGGACGAAUCGGUUGCGACCUAACACGUCGUGAUCUUGACGGGACCCCUAAAAGGAAGCACCGGGCUAACUACGUGCCAGCAGCCGCGGUA
rnacentral:rRNA from 1 species